UAGCAUAUUUAAUAACAUCUACAAUAAG
rnacentral:sRNA from 1 species